UGCAGUCGAACGAUGAACCACUUCGGUGGGGAUUAGUGGCGAACGGGUGAGUAACACGUGGGUAAUCUGCCCUUCACUCUGGGACAAGCCCUGGAAACGGGGUCUAAUACCGGAUAUCACUACCGCGGGCAUCUGUGGUGGUUGAAAGCUCCGGCGGUGAAGGAUGAGCCCGCGGCCUAUCAGCUUGUUGGUGAGGUAACGGCUCACCAAGGCGACGACGGGUAGCCGGCCUGAGAGGGCGACCGGCCACACUGGGACUGAGACACGGCCCAGACUCCUACGGGAGGCAGCAGUGGGGAAUAUUGCACAAUGGGCGCAAGCCUGAUGCAGCGACGCCGCGUGAGGGAUGACGGCCUUCGGGUUGUAAACCUCUUUCAGCAGGGAAGAAGCGAAAGUGACGGUACCUGCAGAAGAAGCGCCGGCUAACUACGUGCCAGCAGCCGCGGUAAUACGUAGGGCGCAAGCGUUGUCCGGAAUUAUUGGGCGUAAAGAGCUCGUAGGCGGCUUGUCACGUCGGGUGUGAAAGCCCGGGGCUUAACCCCGGGUCUGCAUUCGAUACGGGCAGGCUAGAGUGUGGUAGGGGAGAUCGGAAUUCCUGGUGUAGCGGUGAAAUGCGCAGAUAUCAGGAGGAACACCGGUGGCGAAGGCGGAUCUCUGGG
rnacentral:rRNA from 1 species